AGCGAACGCUGGCGGCAGGCUUAACACAUGCAAGUCGAGCGGGCCUUUCGGGGUCAGCGGCGGACGGGUGAGUAACGCGUGGGAACGUGCCCUCUGGUUCGGAAUAACUCAGGGAAACUUGAGCUAAUACCGGAUACGCCCUUUUGGGGAAAGGCUUGCUGCCGGAGGAUCGGCCCGCGUCUGAUUAGCUAGUUGGUGAGGUAACGGCUCACCAAGGCGACGAUCAGUAGCUGGUCUGAGAGGAUGAUCAGCCACACUGGGACUGAGACACGGCCCAGACUCCUACGGGAGGCGGCAGUGGGGAAUAUUGGACAAUGGGCGCAAGCCUGAUCCAGCCAUGCCGCGUGAGUGAUGAAGGCCUUAGGGUUGUAAAGCUCUUUUAUCCGGGACGAUAAUGACGGUACCGGAGGAAUAAGCCCCGGCUAACUUCGUG
rnacentral:rRNA from 1 species